UUCUAUUUGUGGAAUUAUACUAAAAUCGGAAUGAUACAGAGAAGAUUAGCAUGGACCCUGAGCAAGUGUGAAUAAGCUUUUGGAAGUCUGCAGGUGUGG
ensembl:snRNA U6 U6 spliceosomal RNA